rnacentral:rRNA from 1 species
AUUGAACGCUGGCGGCGUGCCUAAUACAUGCAAGUCGAGCGAAGCGGGGACGGGUGAGUAACACGUGGACAACCUCCUAUAAGAUCGGGAUACCUUCGGGAAACAGGAGCUAAACAGGAUACUUAUAGAUGGCUCCGCGCUGAAUUAGCUAGUGGGUAAGGUAACGGCUUACCAAGGCAACGAUGCAUAGCCGACCUGAGAGGGUGAUGGCGCACACUGGAACUGAGACACGGUCCCUAUUCCUACGGGAGGCAGCAGUAGGGAAUCUUCCGCAAUGGGCGAAAGCCUAACUGAGCAACGCCGCGUGAGUGAUGAAGGUCUUCGGAUCGUAAGACUCUGUUAUUAGAGAAGCGGUACCUAAUCAGAAAUCCACGGCUAACUACGUGCGAGCAGCCGCGGUAAUAC